rnacentral:lncRNA from 1 species
GCGGUGUCUUCGUUCGUCACCGCUGUUCCCUAGUUUCACCCCGCCCCUUUCCGUUUUCACGAAAAACCAACAAACCAAUCAAGUUCCAUUCCUCCCCCUUUAUUUUCGUCGCAGCUUCCGGCCCCGCCGGGCUUCCACCAAUCCAAGCGUCCGGGGCUUCCCAUCCGGAUGCUUUAAAAAAAAACUCGCUUGUUUCCAAUCAGAGGCAAAGGAACGAAGGAGGGAUCGGUGGAAGCUUUGACUUCACUCCCUUUUAAAGUCCGGGCUUCCAACAAGGCUUGGCUGCUCUACUAUUUAAGCCAAUGAGAAGUCGCUUCCCCUUUCGCUCUUUCUUAAAAAAAAAAGCCUGCCAAUUCGCCCAAUCGUCUUCCCAGAGAAGCUCUUCCGCAGUCCAAUGAAAGGCGGGAGGCACGCGAAGCACCCAAUGAGGGAGGGGCAAGCCCCCCUCCAGCGUCAAGCGUGCGGAGGGGGGCGCGCGAGGGGAGGAGCCAAUGAGGUGCCGCGCAGCGCCCCUACUGCUCAACAGCUUGUUAUUUGGGUGGUGAGAGUGGCGCUGGGCUGAAAGAGUGACACUCGGUCCGUCUGUGAGUGGGAGCCGCCGAUCCCGGGCUGCUGAGGGGGCGGAGGAAGAAGAGAAGGCGGAGCAAGGCGGGACAGCCCCUAUUGCUGCUGCCGCUGCUGCUGCUGCUGCUGUCGUCGUCGUCGCCCUCCUCCUCCUCUUUGGCCGCUGCUGUCGCGGCUUGUUCCUGGUGGGGGUCGGACGGUGUCUUCGGCCGGGCUGCCCGCGCUCUACGCCGGGCGAGGAGAGCUGCCGCCGUGGACUGCACUCAGCAAUGCAAGCUAUGCUGACAUGAACAUUCUAGACUUUUAGGGAUUGCUGUUUAUAACACCAAAAGUCAGUGUUUUAAUGACUGACUGCAGUUUUCAUAGAGUUUCUUCAACUGUGGUACACAAAACGCUUUGAGCUGGAAUCCCUCAAAUAACCAUCAAAUAUGAAGGCAGCAGAUGAGCCUGCCUACCUAACAGUGGGGACUGAUGUCAGUGCCAAAUAUCGGGGUGCUUUCUGUGAGGCAAAAAUUAAGACAGUGAAAAGGCUAGUGAAAGUUAAGGUGAUCUUAAAGCAAGAUAAUUCAACACAAUUGGUGCAAGAUGAUCAGGUGAAAGGACCUUUGAGGGCUGGUGCAGUUGUUGAAACCAAGAUGCCUGAUGGAACCUUUCAAGAAGCUAUCAUCAGUAAAUUGACAGAUGCCAGCUGGUAUACUGUGGUUUUUGAUGAUGGUGAUGAGAGGACAUUGAGACGGACCUCACUGUGUUUGAAGGGGGAGAGGCACUUUGCUGAAAGCGAGACACUUGACCAACUGCCACUAACAAAUCCAGAGCACUUUGGAACACCUGUAAUUGGAAAGAAGUCCAACAGAGGAAGAAGGUCGUCUCUUCCUGUCAAUGAAGAUGAAAAAGAAGAAGAAACUAGUGAAGAGGAAGAGGAAGAUAAGAGACGUCUUAAUGAUGAAUUGCUUGGUAAAAUUGUCAGUGUGGUAUCCAGUACUGAAAAGGCAGAACGGUAUCCAGCUUUGGUCUUAUCCCCCAGCUGCAGUGAUGACAUUUUAGUGAAAAAGGACCAGUGUUUAGUUCGUUCUUUUGCAGAUUCCAAAUUCUCUUUCUUCCAUUGGAAAGCCAUUCCUUCUAUUUGGAAGAUGGACAUGCGUGAAAUCUUGGAAUCCUCCAGCAGUGAUGAAGAAGAUGGAGGAGAGACAGGAAGUAAUGAUGAUGAAGAAGAAAAAGGAGAACAAAAAGAGGAAGAAGUAGUGCCUGAGGAAGAGCUUGAUCCUGAAGAGAGGGACAAUUUCCUCCAGCAGCUUUACAAGUUUAUGGAAGACAGAGGAACUUCUAUCAAUAAACCACCUGUUUUGGGCUAUAAGGAUCUUAACCUCUUCAAACUUUUCAGACUGGUAUAUCAGCAGGGUGGGUGUGACAAUAUUGAUAGUGGAGCUGUUUGGAAACAAAUUUAUAUGGACCUUGGCAUUCCUAUUUUGAAUUCAGCUGCUUCCUACAAUGUGAAAACUGCGUAUAGAAAGUAUCUUUAUGGUUUUGAAGAAUACUGUCGUUCUGCAAACAUUCAGUUCCGAACCAUCCACCACAAUGAACCAAAAAUAAUUGUAGUACAGAAAAAAGAAGAGCAAAUGGAGGAAAAGGUAAAAGAAGAGCCUGAAAUGUCUCCUGUAGAGAUUCAGAAUGAGAUGGAAGAAAACAACUGUAGCAGUGAAAGUGAAAAAGAAGAACUGGAACAGAGGUCUCAACGGGGACGAAGAAGACAUAUCCGUGAUGCGUCUCUUGUUAAAAAAGAAGGUGAAGAUGAUAAAAUACAAGAUAAGCUAAAAGACAGCAACAAGGAGAAUAAAGACAUAGAAGAGAUUUCCAGUAAUGUAGAGAAGAUUGAAAAUGAUAUGGCACUUGCAAACAGAAAGACUACACCAAAGCAAAAGGAAAAGAGGGCAAAACAGGAAGAGGAAUCUGACAGGGAGUCAGAUGAAGAGGAAGAGAGAAGCAGGGAAGAACUUGAAAAUCGAGAAUCGGAAGGGGAAGAAUGUGAAGAAGAUGCAGAGCCUUGUCUUACAGGAACCAAAGUAAAAGUAAAAUAUGGCCGUGGUAAAACACAGAAAAUCUAUGAAGCUAGUAUUAAAAGUACAGAAAACGAUGACGGAGAGAUUUUGUAUUUGGUGCAUUAUUAUGGCUGGAAUAUUGUUUAUGCUUGUAUUCAGAGUAAAGAAGACUCUGAAAAAGAUGAAAAGAAAGAGGAAGAAAAACAAAAGGGAAAGCGUGGACGUCCUCCUCUGAAAUCAACUCUUCUAUCAAAUCUCUCUUGUGGUCUGUCUAAAACUCCUAAUAGUGACAGCAAAUCAGGGGUGCGAAUUUCAUCAGAUAGUGAAGCAGAUGAAGCUUCUGAAAAGAACAUUAAUGAAGAAUUUUCUCCAGCAAGUUUUGAAAUGGAAAAUGAAAAACGAACAGUUGAUAAGCCUGUUGAAGAGAUUGCAAAGAUCUCACAAAUGCUAAAAGAGAAUGAUCAGAAUCAAGUUCAUCCUUUAGAAAAAUUGAAAUUAGAAAGUGAAGAGAGUGAACAAGUGGUUCAGAAUUGUGGAAGUAAAAAUGAUCAAAUAGAAGAAGUGAAAAGAGAGGUGGAGAAAUCACCUAAAGGAAAAGGCCGGAAGAACCGAACAAGAGAUUCUUUCCUAGAGAAUUCAAAGAUUACGUUACUAAAUCAGGAAGAAACAACCAAUGAACCUGUUGCAGAAUCUGAACGAUUAAAUAUUUCUUCCUUGGAAAAUAAAGGUUUGAGCUCUAAUUCUGAGAAUGAAACAGAUCUCUGGGCAAAAGAUAAGAAGCUUAUGAAAAGAAAAGUGAUAGAACAGCCAUCACCUGACAAAAGGAUACGACAAGAGGGUGAGCUCACUGUGCCACAUAUUGUGACUGAAGAGAAGGCAAAUGAAUGUUAUGGGGCAGAAGAAUGUAAGGAUUUCACUGCUGAUGAGUCUCUUCGAAAUGAGAAUGAAGAAAUGCCAUCAUUGGUGGCAGAAUCAGAUCAACGGCUCCAUGUUAGGGGAAGUGAACCCUUUGAUUGUUCUUCAGAGGAAAACCGUAGCACACUGUUGAAAGAUGAAGAUGACUCCAUGCCUCAAAUUGGUCCUGAAACUCUUCUUUGCCAUGAAGUAGACUUGGAUGAUCUUGAUGAAAAGGACAAGAAUGGGCCUGAAAGUUUGGUUGCAGAAAAGCAUGAUGGUAGUAACCUCACUUCAAAUCCCCCUAUGUUACCUUCUGUGAUCCAGCCAAAUUUCUCUGUUGCCUCACCUCUAAUGUUCAGUCAGGAUGAAUCACCAAGCAUAAAAAGUGAAAGUGACAUGACUAUUGAAGUGGACAGUAUAGCUGAAGAGUCUCAAGAAGGCCUUUGCGAGAAUGAAUCUGCCAAUGGGUUUGAAGCUUCCAGCAACUGUAGCAUAGCUGGUCCAGAAAUUGGAGAAAAGGGACAAAAAAGGCCUGGGGAUAACAGUGGUAGUUCACUGGCAAAGCGGCAAAAGCGUACCCCCAAACGAGCAAGUACGAUAGCCAAAAGUGAGAAAAAUGGGACAGGGCAAAGCAGUGAUAGUGAAGAUCUUCCUGCCCUUGACAGCUCAAGUAAAUGUACUCCUGUAAAGCAUAUUGGUGUAACGAAGCCACAGAAACUCAAUCGAUCGCCUGCCAGAGGGGUAUCUCCUAAUAUCAAAGAUGGGGAUAAGGAGAAACAGAGAGAGAAGAACCAUCAUGUUUCUCCAAGAGUGUACAAAUGGACUGUCCAGCUUAAUGAAUUGGACAAUAUGAGCAGCACAGAGAGAAUCUCAUUUCUACAAGAAAAACUACAGGAAAUCAGGAAAUGUUACAUGUCUCUGAAAUCAGAAGUAGCAACGAUUGAUAGGAGAAGAAAACGAUUGAAAAAGAAGGACCGAGAAGUGUCCCAUACUGGAGCUUCCAUGUCCUCUGGCUCUUCAGACACUGGAAUGAGCCCAUCCUCACCCUCCCCUCCACAGAGUGUGCUUGCUGUUGAAUGCAGGUGAUACUGGUGAUUAUCUCUGCUUCAUGCAGCAAAUUGCUGCCAUGGACAGAAAUCCGAAAAUCUCACAGAAAGCACCCAGUUGGUUUGACAUUGCCAAGUAUAGUGUGUAUACUCUUCCACUGCUGGACUUGUCUGUCUCUACUCCUUUGUGCCCCUUCCUCUAUUUUGUCCAUAUAGUUUUUUUUAAACAACAUAUUUUAUUGUGGAGAAUAAUCUAAUUCGCAACUAAAGGUUAAUGGGUGCACUUAAGACACCUCUGUCUUAUGCUUUGUUUUUUUUACUUUGCUUUAAACAGAAAAAGGGCACUUAAUCUGAUUUGAAAACACAGGUAUCCAAUGAAGCAUUGGGCAUUGUAAAAAAAAAACAACUUUAAGUAAAAGCAAGUGCACCAAAAAUAGCAUCAAAAUAAGUUAAUCAGAAAAUAAUUACUGCUGCACUUUUUUCACCGAGCUAUAUCUUAAUUCUGAGCGAGAGUCCCACUUUUAUUUUUAUGUUUUGGAGAUGCAGUUGCUUUGUACAGACUUGCCAAAGUAGGUACUCAGCAUUGUGCCCAGUUUUAAAUUGGACAAAAUAAAUUGUGAAAGGAAGCGUAGUUGACUGGAAAC